GGGACCAUAACGAACAGGGACACAGAUAGGGGCAAGGAGGAACAGGGACCUGAAACUUAACCUGACUUGAAGACUACACGUUGAGAGAAACGAGGAGCAAUUUGUAAAAGAGUGCGUUGAGAUAAACGCUGCAACCUGAGGGUUCAUCGUCCUCAACAGCUCCGAUUGCCUUUCGCUGGACGAAGGUGUUCCUCCUGGGCUCUGUAUCAUGCACUGGCCAUGCAGAUGUGGAGCACAAGUGGAAAAAAAGCCCUGCAGACCCUGACAAGAAUAAAAGCAAGAGAGAAUCUGUGAUGGGUGAGAAAGGAAAAGUGCACUUUGAAGCAGGGGACGCCCCGCUGGCUCUGCCUAUCGCACCCACCGCCGGCGUGUUCCCCAUCUCUCCUUUUGGUGGUUGCCAUCUCUCAGGUGUCACGGCGGAGUGCGCACCUCUUUCACCACACCCGCAAGGAGCGUGAUGCCCUCUUGCAACACCUGCCGAGUGCAGGGUCACCAACCACAAGACCAGGCUGCCCAGAUGUGAAGGGAUGAUAAGCGUAGGCUGCUGUCUGAGCUCUGCAUUUAGUCCACAUGAAAGUGUCACAGCCCAAGGGCAUCUGUUCAAAGAGAUGUGGAGAAUUCUGGCUUCCCAGGAUCCUCCCCUGUGUCUGCCAUGCCAGGCUGCAUCAGAUAUGUGGUGCCUGGCAACAGUAAGAAGGCAAAAUGGGAAUGGUUCCCUUUGUACCAGUGACCUGAGAACAGUGGGCUGCAGUGUGGUACUGCUCCAGCUCUGUCAGAAUGCCAGAACUUUUCAUCUGCACUUUGAGGAAUCUGCUGCCUCUGCCCAGAUGUGCUCUUACCAGAUGUGUGCCUACACCAGGAUCCUAUGGAGAGUCUGUGACAGCAAGGGCAUAGAAACACAUGCUCACACCUUUCCAAUCAGCACCAGGUUAGAGUGAGAAGGCAGUGAAGAACAGCACUUUUGUGUAAGCUGUGUGGAUAUUUUAGGCUGAUGGGAGCAGAGGACUGAGAAAGGAAAGAGGAAACUUCCCUUGCAUCAUGGUCUCCUUGCAUCAUGGCUACUCUGGAAAGCAGCUGAAAUGCGGAUUAAAUGCAGAAGUCAUCCAGUCACCAGGAAAAUACAUGAACCCUGGCUGUAAGACGAAUUUACAACUCUACUCAUUGCUAUGCCAUUGACUCAUUUCUUCUGUUUCCCUUGGGUCUCCUGUCUGUGGCUAAGAUCUCUCGGAAGAAGCUAUCUGCCCAUAUGCGAUGCAAUAUAUCCUCAUCUCCAGAUGCAUCUUGUAAUAGUGACAGUGUGGGCAGCAGCCAGGCCCAGUCUGUGUGUGCUCUGGAAGGCUUUCACAGAGGAAAACAAAAGGGAUCUCAGUUUACAGUAAGACAGAUCCUUCCAAGCCCUCCGAAAAGAAAGCCAGUGCUCUUUGUUGUACAGUGCUACUCAGAGGAUGCAAGACUAAGUGAAAUGUCUGUGUCUUCCUCUCCAAGCUCUGAGCAAACUACAUGAAAUGGAGAGCUUAUACCCUGAUGACCUUCACGCUUCUUGCUCUCAGCUAGGUAUGUUUAACUGCAUAGCUGCUGCCUUCAGGUGUUAUUGCAAGAAUGCAAUACAGGCAUGCAUUGUGAUGAUGGUGAUGUUUUCCUGCAGGAAAUAGUGUUUCUGCAGCAGACUUAACUUCCAUCUGUGGUCUUGUGGAACGGCGUAGCUCAUUAGCUUUCACUGAGGUGGGCUCUUGGACAUGGCUCUGACAUGAAUGAUUCUGCAGCUGCCUGGAAAAGCUCUGUUUAUUGCUACUGCCAUCCUGAUGACUUCCUUUAGAAGUAUCUCAUUAUUUCACCCAUAUCUGUAGCUACACCCCACUCCAAAAAAUGGCUCCAGCAGUGCAUCGCCCUUCUUUGAUCUUUGUGCACAUCUCAAGAAAGCUGUGGAUGUAGCAGUUGUUCGGUACCUACUCAGAAGAGUGGAACAGCCUACUGGGGGGGAGAAAUGAUAGCAGGAAUCAGAAGCCUUUUCCUAUGUAAUUUAUAUUUCACUGUCUGGAUUUUUCCUUAAGAAAACAUUCAUUCUAAAC
rnacentral:lncRNA from 7 species